rnacentral:rRNA from 1 species
UACGAAGGGGGCUAGCGUUGCUCGGAAUUACUGGGCGUAAAGCGCACGUAGGCGGUCUUUUAAGUCGGGGGUGAAAUCCUGGAGCUCAACUCCAGAACUGCCUUCGAUACUGGAAGACUUGAGUCCGGGAGAGGUGAGUGGAACUGCGAGUGUAGAGGUGAAAUUCGUAGAUAUUCGCAAGAACACCAGUGGCGAAGGCGGCUCACUGGCCCGGAACUGACGCUGAGGUACGAAAGCGUGGGGAGCAAACAGG